UCUUCGUUCAUCAGCAGGAAGUAUCCAAAGCAGUAGCCGCUCAUCAGCAUUUUGUGGACAUCAACAAGUUCCUAUCUGCUGAUGAGGUCACUCUUCUUCACUUGUAUUUCAUGAACUCAAGGAAACCACGCAAAAAGAAUGAAUAACCUCCAAGGAAAGGUGUAACAUCAUAGAACUCAUCCGUCACUGGCCAUCGGGGCACUUUUAAUGAUGAUAUGAGUGACUGACAGAGGCAGGGUGUCCAGGCAAUCAAGUUAGAGACCAGAUUCAAGAGUUUGCCUGUGUAAUCCUGCCUGCUGGCUAUUCUGGAACUUGCUUUGUGGACCAGGCUGGCUUCAAACUCACAGAGAUCACCUGCUUCUGGCUCCUGACUGCUGGGAUUCAAGGUGUACACCACCACUGCCCUGUUCGUUUAAUUUUUCUAAUUAAGAUUCUCACAGUGCAAGAGUUCAGAGCUUCCAAAUAAACACCGUGGCUAUUUGGUCCUUCUCUGUACAUCUCCAAGGUGGUAAGAGCUACACAAUACAUUGUGACCUGAAUACCAUUCCAAGGUACACAGGAAUCCUCUGAGAAAUUGCCCCUGGCCCUGCAUACUCACUCUGGACCUUAGUUGGCUUAUGUCACUGGCUCCACUGUGGCUCUUCCAUUAUGGCAUUGAUGGAGUACCAAAGCCUUGCCAUAGAACACAGUGUCUCCUAGGAAAGAGAUGCUCCGAGUGCCAACUCAUUACUCAAAUACUGUAUUAGUUGCACAAGGCUAAGCUUCUAUUUUCCUCUCUGCAAGCUGAAGAUAGUAACAGCAAACAGUGGAUUCUCAAGAGGGCUAAAUGAGUUCUGUGAGGCCAGGGUAGUUGGUAGAUUUUUUUUUCUUGCUUCUUUAGCUUUAUUCUUGUGCAUGAUUUUCUGACUUCUUCCAGAGUUAAUGCCUUCCUUUCAUUCAUACCACUGUUACUUGGUGUACUUGGUGUCUUUUCUCUGUGACCCUUGAGAACAUCUAAGAAAUUUAGCUUCCUCCCAGUAUCUCAGGCCAUUAUCUACCAAUAUGCAUAGCUACUGCCCUCACUACCCACAGUCAAGUUUUAUGGGUUUCAUUGGUCCAACAAUUGUUUUUUCCAUCUUUAUUAACUUGAGUAUUUCUUACUUACAUUUCGAUUGUUAUUCCCCUUCCCGGUUUCCGGGCCAACA